rnacentral:rRNA from 1 species
CGCGGUGAAUACGUUCCCGGGCCUUGUACACACCGCCCGUCAAGCCAUGGAAGCUGGGUGUACCUAAAGUCGAUAACCGUAAGGAGUCGCCUAGGGUAAAACUAGUAACUGGGGCU